rnacentral:rRNA from 1 species
GGAGGAAGGCGGGGACGACGUCAAGUCAUCAUGGCCCUUACGACCCAGGGCUACACACGUGCUACAAUGGUAGGUACAGAGGGCAGCUACACAGCGAUGUGAUGCGAAUCUUUCAAAGCCUAUCGUAGUCCAGAUUGGAGUCUGCAACUCGACUCCAUGAAGUAGGAAUCGCUAGUAAUCGCGGAUCAGAAUGCCGCGGUGAAUACGUUCCCGGGCCUUGUACACACCGCCCGU